rnacentral:rRNA from 1 species
CCAAUAGCGUAUAUUAAAGUUGUUGCAGUUAAAAAGCUCGUAGUUGAAUUUCGGGGUUAGUAGGUUGGUCAUGCCACUGGUAUGUACUGAUCUUACUGAUUCCUCCUUCCUGAUGAACCGUAAUGCCAUUAAUUUGGUGUUGCGGGGAAACUGGGCUGUUACUUUGAAAAAAUUAGAGUGUUUAAAGCAGGCUAACGCUUGAAUACAUUAGCAUGGAAUAAUGAAAUAGGACGUUCGAUCCUAUUUUGUUGGUUUCUAGGAUUGACGUAAUGAUUAAUAGGGAUAGUUGGGGGCAUUAGUAUUCAAUUGUCAGAGGUGAAAUUCUUGGAUUUAUUGAAGACUAACUACUGCGAAAGCAUUUGCCAAGGUUGUUUUCAUUAAUCAAGAACGAAAGUUAGGGGAUCGAAGACGAUCAGAUACCGUCGUAGUCUUAACCAUAAACUAUGCCGACUAGGGAUCGGAUGAUGUUAAUUUUUUAAUGACUCAUUCGGCGCCUUACG